GUUUGGUUUGCCAUCACUUUUUGUGACUUUUCUGACAUCUGCAAGUGUCGGAAGUGUGACCUGAAACAUUUAAGGACACUUCUGCCUGAACCAUGGGCAGAUGUUUAGACUCCAAGAUACAGAGGAGGAGGGUCUUGGAGGUUUCUUAGUAUAAGUUCCUCCCUGUGGUACUUGCAGUUCCUACAAGGGGCUGUCAGAGAAACAAGCCGGAGCAGAAGAGCAAGACAUGGUCCUGGUGCAUGAAAGGAGCCUAAGAAAGAAGAGUGAAAGCUGCACGUGUUCUACCUCCAGAAAGCCAUAAAAGAGAAAAGAAUGUUGUACCAAACUAAGCAAAUGAAGCAUGAAAUGAAAAGCCGGUUGAGCUGGGAGGUAUAAAGAAUGGAAAGGAAGCAGCUACCACCCCUGGUAACCCCAUCAAUCCGGAGAAGCUUCGCAGAGUUACACUGUGCUCUGUCGGAGGAAGUCUAAAAUAACACAUGGGUGUCUCGGCCUUGGCACAGCUAAACCCUGGAACAUUGAACUGAAGUCAUAACAAUGGAGCAUCCUGGCAGGCAUCCACUGUGCCAUAUGCUUUCGGGAAGUCUGGAUGCUGAAUGUGGUGGCUGUGGGGAAUUGAGCCUUAUUGCUUCAUAAGAUUCCUGGUGGUAGAACUAUUCUGAACAAGAACACGUCCGUCCCCAUAGGUGUGCUCCAAGAAUCACAGAAUAAGAAGGGACUUCGGAGAGAGCCUCACACAGUUGGGCAAUGGGAGCCCAGAGAGGCAAGGAAGGCUCCUUGCCCAAAGUCUUGUACAUCUGAAUCUGCAACUCCUGACUAUUUUUGAGUCUUAUGCUCCAGGCUAAAACUUGUGACUUUAAGUGUGAUGUUCUCGGUGAUGAUUAAUCUAGGAUGUUUCUGUUGUUUUCUUACCGUCAAAGAAUUAACAUCAAAAGGAAAGGAAGGAAGAAAUGUAGAAGUGAAGGCAAGAAGGAAGGAAGGAGGAAAGGAAGGAAGGAAAAUAUAGGCUUUGGGUAAAAAUAAGUUUCUACUCAACACUGACAAAGGUACAGGUUUUGGACAUUGGUUUCCUAAUCUGUAAAUGAGGAAUAGUCAUCACAUCGCUGUCCUGGCUGGUUUUGUGUGUCAACUUGACACAAGCUGGAGUUAUCACAGAGAAAGGAAAGAAAAUGCCUCCAUGAGAUCUAGCUGUAAAUGGAUUAGUGAUCAAGAGUGGGAGGGCCCAGUGUGGGUGGUGCCAUCCCUGGACUGGUGGUCCUGGGUUCUACAAGAAAACAAGCUGAGCAAGCCAGGGGAAGCAAGCCAGGGGAACAUCCCUCCACGGCUCUGCAUCAGCUCCUGCUUCCUGCCCUGUGUGAGUUCCAGUCCUGACUUCCUUUGGUGACGAACAGCAAUGUGAUAGUAUAAGCUGAAUAAACCCUUUCCUCCCCAAC
rnacentral:lncRNA from 1 species